AUUGAACGCUGGCGGCAUGCCUUACACAUGCAAGUCGAACGGCAGCGCGGGGCAACCUGGCGGCGAGUGGCGAACGGGUGAGUAACAUAUCGGAACAUACCCUAGAGUGGGGGAUAACGUAGCGAAAGUUACGCUAAUACCGCAUACGCACUAAGGUGGAAAGUGGGGGAUUCGCAAGAACCUCAUGCUCAUGGAGUGGCCGAUAUCUGAUUAGCUAGUUGGUGAGGUAAAGGCUCACCAAGGCGACGAUCAGUAGCUGGUUUGAGAGAACGACCAGCCACACUGGAACUGAGACACGGUCCAGACUCCUACGGAGGCAGCAGUGGGGAAUUUUGGACAAUGGGGGCAACCCUGAUCCAGCAAUGCCGCGUGAGUGAAGAAGGCCUCGGUUGUAAG
rnacentral:rRNA from 1 species